UUUAGUGGUAACUUCAGCAGGACUGAUUUAAGAAUCUGAUGUAGGAGAAUUAAAGAGAGUGAUUCUUCAGUUAAUUUUAUAACUUAAUGAUACAAGAUAUUGGGACAGUGUUUAUUAUAAAGAACAGUUGGUUAAUUUAUUAUGAAUGAAUACUAAUUUCAAUGUAACUCCGAAUUAAUUUCAUAACUUGCAGAACUGAUAAGGAGUUUUUGAAGACAAUUGGUAUAAUAUAGUAUAAGAGGAGAAGGAAAGUUGAUCAGAUUACAGAAAGAUUGGCAAUUAAUUGAACAACAUGGAUUAGAUGUGUGGGUAUUGGGAUGAUAUAGAAUCAGGAGAAAGAUAGCAAGUUGGAUUUUAUAAUUCUAAGGAAAUCUGGAAUAAAAGACAACAUUGUUACAAGUUACAACUGGAUUUGAUGUAAAGCGACCUGGUUAUUGGAGGUAGAAGUGUCAAAUUACAG